UGAUCCCUGGCUCAGAUUGAACGCUGGCGGCAUGCCUUACACAUGCAAGUCGAACGGUAACAGGUCUUUCGGGAUGCUGACGAGUGGCGAACGGGUGAGUAAUACAUCGGAACGUGCCUAGUAGUGGGGGAUAACUACUCGAAAGAGUGGCUAAUACCGCAUGAGAUCUAUGGAUGAAAGCAGGGGACCUUCGGGCCUUGUGCUACUAGAGCGGCCGAUGGCAGAUUAGGUAGUUGGUGGGAUAAAAGCUUACCAAGCCUGCGAUCUGUAGCUGGUCUGAGAGGACGAUCAGCCACACUGGGACUGAGACACGGCCCAGACUCCUACGGGAGGCAGCAGUGGGGAAUUUUGGACAAUGGGGGAAACCCUGAUCCAGCAAUGCCGCGUGCAGGAUGAAGGCCUUCGGGUUGUAAACUGCUUUUGUACGGAACGAAAAGUCUUGGGCUAAUACCCUGGGAUCAUGAC
rnacentral:rRNA from 1 species